CUGAAGCAUUUCCGGAUUUCAAUACACUCCCAAAGUCAUAUAAUGAAGCAAAGAAACUUCUAAAGGAUUUAGGACUUGGAUAUGAAUCAAUCUAUGUGUGCUGUAACAACUGUGUUCUGUUUUGGAAUAAUUAUGCUAAGCAUGACAAUUGUCCAAUUUGUGGUUUGUCGAGAUGGAAAGACCCUGAAAGAAAGAAGGUUCCAUAGAAAGUAUUGUGUUAUUUUCCGUUGGCACCUAGGCUAAAGAGGAUAUUUGCUUCCAAGCAGGGUGUAGAAGAUGCACAAUGGCACAAGUUAAAGAGGGAGCCUAGUGAAAAGGAAAUGAGUCAUCCAGCUGAUGGUGAGGCAUCGCAAGAUUUUGAUAGAGAAUAUCCAAACUUUGCCAAAGAUCCAAGAACCUCAGACUUGGCCUUGCUAUAAAUGGAUUCAAUCCCUUUGGCAAUUUUAAUACAAAGUACAUCAUGUGGCCUGUAUUUGUUGUUCCAUACAACCUUCCACCUUGGGUAUGCAUGGAUGAGUCAAAUUUAAUGAUGGCUUUGUUGAUUCCAAAUCCAACAUGCCCAGGGAAAGACUUUGAUUUAUUUCUAGAGCCUCUUGUAGAAGAUUUGACUAAGCUUUGGAAGGGUGUGUCCACUUAUGAUGCUGUUAGUGACAAAAAGUUCAAUCUCCGUGCUGCAGUUUUAUGGUGUAUUCAUGACUAUCCUGCUCUAAGUACUCUUUCUGGGCGGACUAUGAAAGGCUAUUUUGCAUGUACUCAUUGUAACAAGAAUCCUCUUUCAUAUGCCCUAAGGAAUAAAAUUGCGUAUAUUGGUCACUACCGUUUCUUGCCAAAGGGACAUCGUUUGCGGAGGAACAAUGAAUUUGUUGGCCUUCAUGGAACCAAUGAUCCACCAGGUAAAUUUUCUAAAGAAGAGCUGCUAGCAUAAUUAGAGAAGGUAAGCCAUAUUAGACCUGGGAUCAGGCAACCAGGAAGUAAUAGAAGGAAGCGUUCUGAAAUGGACAGUGGUAGCAGUGCUCAUGUGAGAAUUUGGAGCCGGAGGGUUUGUUUGUGGGACUUGGAGUAUUGGAAAAAUUUGAAGCUGAGACAUAAUCUUGAUGUCAUGCACAUUGAGAAGAACAUAUGUGAGAGCUUGAUUGCCACGUUUCUCCAUAUACUUGGGAAGACAAAGGACACGGUGAAUGCUAGGCUUGACCUAAGCGAUUUGGGAAUCAAAGAGGAGCUGCAGUUUAAAGAGGAAGGAAAUUGUUCUGAGAUGCCUCGUGCUCGAUAUACCUUGUCGAAAGAAUAGAAGAUUGCCUUUUGUAAGUUUUUAGGGGAGGUAAAGUUUCCAGAUGGCUAUGCUUCAAACAUCUCAAGAUGUAUAAAUGCUGAUGGUACCAAGGUACAGGGCCUAAAAACACAUGACUGCCAUAUUAUUUUGCAAAGAAUCUUACCUGCUGCCUUGAGAGGAUUUGUGGACAAGGAUAUUUAUGAAGCAAUUGCUGAGUUACGAAAGUUCUUCAGGGAAUUGUGCGGCAAAAGUCUUAACAAGGAUGUGUUGGCUGAAAUAAAAAAAGAAAUCCCUAUAAUAGUGUGCAAGCUUGAGAAAAAUUUCCCCCCAGCUUUUUUUGACGUGAUGCUGCACCUUGCUGUACAUUUAGCUGAAGAGGCGUUGCUCCAAGGCCUUUGCAAUAUGGGUGGAUGUACCCGAUUGAAAGGCGGUUGUACACUUUGAACGCUAUGUGAGGAAUAGGGCACGACCAGAAGGUUCCAUUGUUGAGGCUUAUAUUGCGGAUGAGUGCCUAACAUUUUUAUCUAAAUACAUGGAUGGUGUUGAAACAAGAUUUAAUCGAGAACCAAGAAAUGUAGGUUUUUCAAAUGAAGAAGCCUAUGGUGUUGAUGUUUUGGGCAUGGAGUUACUUUUACUUCAGCAGCAGAUGUAGUAUACGAUGAAAAUGAAAUUGAUUAAAUGGUGUGGUAUGUGUUGAACAACUCUAGUCAAGUUGAGGAAUAUAUCAAAAUGUUCAGAGCUGAAUUAGAGAGGGAAGGGGUGCCUAACAUUGAUAGAGCGCUUUGACAAGGAUUUCAGACAUGGUUCAGGAACCAUAUGAUGACGCGAUGAUAUAUAAGUCAAGAAGAGAUAGAUGAUGAUUUAUUUUCCUUGGCUUGUGGUCCUGAUUUUAGAGUUAGGAAAUACAAAUCAUGCAAAUGGGAUGCGGUUUAAUACUGUUGACCGUGAUUUGAACAAGAAGACACAGAAUAGUGGAGUAAUGACACAAGGUACACAUAAUAAUGAGGUUAUGGAUUUUUAUGGAACACUAAAAGAGAUCAUCCAGUUAGAUUACAAUGGUGAUGAAAUGUUAGUAGUUUUGUUCAAGUGUGAUUGGUUUAAAUUGGAUGGAAAGAUGACUCAAAUGAAAGAUGAUGGGUUUUUUAAAAGCAUCAAUGCUGGCGGUCUAUGGUACAAAGAUGAUUCUUUAAUUCUAGCUACUCAGUUCAGAAAAGUGUUUUAUUUGCCAGAUACAAAGUUUGGUAAAAAUUGGCAAGCUGUCCAAACAUUUGAUCAUCGACAUCUAUAUAAUGUUCGUGAAACAACUGUGCCGUUUAAUGGACCUGCAUAUCAAGAGGAUGAGUGUUGUGAAGAUGAGGGUAGGCGGCAAGUAGUUUCUGACUUUACAUCUAAGCAGCCAUUAAAUAGAGAUGAUGAAUGUGGAACCAUGUUUCAAGCUGCUGAGAUUUCCCGUUUGAGGAAUGAAAGGGCAAACCAUGUGUAUGAAAGUGACAGCGAAGACGACGGAGAUGACACAUAGAGACUAUAGCAGUGAAGAUGAAGGAGGUACCACAAUCGAAGUUGACAGUGAUGACGAGUAGUUGUGUUUUUCUUAAUUUUUUUUGGAUUAUGAUGAGUCGUUAUUGUAAAGCGCCCUAGACAUUCAAACAAUAUUAUGUUUUGUUAGGGCCA